rnacentral:rRNA from 1 species
GAUGAACGCUGGCGGCGUGCUUAACACAUGCAAGUCGAACGAUGAAGCCCAGCUUGCUGGGUGGAUUAGUGGCGAACGGGUGAGUAACACGUGAGUAACCUGCCCUUAACUCUGGGAUAAGCCUGGGAAACUGGGUCUAAUACCGGAUAGGAGCGUCCACCGCAUGGUGGGUGUUGGAAAGAUUUAUCGGUUUUGGAUGGAUUCGCGGCCUAUCAGCUUGUUGGUGAGGUAAUGGCUCACCAAGGCGACGACGGGUAGCCGGCCUGAGAGGGUGACCGGCCACACUGGGACUGAGACACGGCCCAGACUCCUACGGGAGGCAGCAGUGGGGAAUAUUGCACAAUGGGCGCAAGCCUGAUGCAGCGACGCCGCGUGAGGGAUGACGGCCUUCGGGUUGUAAACCUCUUUCAGUAGGGAAGAAGCGAAAGUGACGGUACCUGCAGAAGAAGCACCGGCUAACUACGUG